rnacentral:rRNA from 1 species
AUUGAACGCUGGCGGCAUGCCUAACACAUGCAUGUCGAACGAGUGGCUUACGGGUGAGUAAUGUCUGGGAACUUGCCUGAUGUAGGGGGAUAACUACUGGAAACGGUAGCUAAUACCGCAUACCAUCAGCUGUGCCCAGAUGGUCUUAGCUUGUUGGUGGUGUAACGGCUCACCAAGGCGGCAAUCCCUAGCUGGUCUGAGAGGAUGACCAGCCACACUGGGACGGGUACAGAGUCCAGAGUCUUGCGAGAGGCAGAAGUGGUGAAUAUAGCACAAUGGGCGCAAGCCUGAUGCGGCGAUGGCGAGUGUGUGAAGAAGGCCUUCAUGUUGUAAAGUACUUUCAGCGGGGAGUCGUUACCCGCAGAAGAAGCACCGGAUAAAUCCGUCGCAGCAGCCGCGGUAAUAC